GGAAGCUGGGACGUCUAAGGUCAACGUGCUGACAGGAGACAUGGUCUUGCUCUGUCACCUAGGCCGUAAUACAGUGGCGUGAUCCUAGCUCACAGCAGCCUCCAACUCCUGGGCUCAAGAGAUCCUCCUGCCUCAGCCUUCUGACUAGCUGGGACUACAGGAAUGUGCUACCACACCCAGCUAAUUUUUUAAUUUUUUGCAGAGAUGACAUCUCACUAUAUUGCCCAGGCUGGUCUUGAACUUCUAGCCUCAAGCAAUCCUCCCACCUCAGCCUCUGAACGUACUGGAAUUACAGAUGGAGCAACUGAGAUUCUUCCCCAACUAGACUAUAAGUUCUCUGAGGGAUAAGGAACAUGUCUGGUUUCCUCAUCUCUCUGUCACAGCACCCUGUGAAUGCCUAGAAGACAGUAAGAAUCAACUGAAUGUUUGUAGAAAGAAUAACGAUACUUACCUAUAGUCUAAAGGUUUAGUGAUGAAAUGAAGUCCACUAACUUCUCUCUGCUUACUUCCACCCUCAAUAACAUAUUUCCUCAAACCCCACAGAGGAAAGACAAUUCAUUUUUUACUAUUGUUUAAUAGAGCCAUGUUUGUAUGUAGCUUCCUGUUCCGCUUAGCCCAAGACAUUAAGUGGGUCAGGAGUAAACUCUGCCCUCUGUUUUUUUCCAUUCCUUUGUCACCUGCUCAAGUGGCAGCCCAGAGCCGCUUGGCGGCUUCCCUGAAGAUGAGCAGAGUGCAGUAGAUUAGGCAUGGCCUUUCUAUCUAUUUCUACUAUGGAGAAGCUGAAAAAGCUAUAUGGCUGGAAAAAAAUCACCUUGGUACUAAUUUGCUAUUUUACAAUAUUUGAAAAUAAAGACCUGUGGUCUUCCUAUGUAUUUCUUUUUAAACAAUGAGGGGUAUGGAACAUCUAUGAAUAAACAUCAAGGUCUUCAAGUGAAUUUUCAGGUUGUGAAGUAUGUGAUUUGUUACUACUAGGGAGAGAUGUUUCCUAACCAUAAAAAUGAAUGUGACUUUUUUUUUUUAAAGGAUGCAACUAAAUUAUAAAAGACAAUCAUUUCACUGGUGGGAAUAGAAUUCACUUAUUCUGAGUCAUGCCUAUUGCAUUACAUUUUGUUUAGCAUAAUUAAUGGUGAAUCUGAGUUGUCCCACAGAAGUAAACCCUAAUUCUCCUCUCCCUACUUCUACCUCUCUCAUUUUAAAGUCUUCAAUUAGUUUUUCCCAAAUGUUUCCAGUCUUAAGAUUUACGGAAUUUGAAGCCUUUCCCAAAGAUCCAAUCUUCCAGAUAAAAGGAAAAUAUAAUAUAGCAUUCCAAUAAAAAUAAGAUAUUCUGGGGUUUCCAUUUUUAAUUAUACCAAUUUUUAAUGUUCAUUAAAUAUAUUUCCCUCUGCCAA
rnacentral:lncRNA from 10 species